CCUACGGGAGGCAGCAGUGGGGAAUAUUGCACAAUGGGGGAAACUCUGAUGCAGCAAUGCCGCGUGGGUGAAGAAGCACUCCGGUGCGUAAAGCCCUUUCAGCAGGGAAGAAAAUGACAGUACCUGACCAAGAAUCCCCGGCUAACUACGUUCCAGCAGCCGCGGUGAUACGUAGGGGGCAAGCGUUAUCCGGAGUUACUGGGUGUAAAGGGAGCGCAGGCGGUAUGGCAAGUCAGAUGUGAAACACCAGGGCCCAACCCUGGGACUGCAUUUGAAACUGCCAUACUGGAGUGCCGGAGAGGCAAGUGGAAUUCCUAGUGUAGCGGUGAAAUGCGUAGAUAUUAGGAGGAACACCAGUGGCGAAGGCGGCUUACUGGACGGUAACUGACGCUGAGGCUCGAAAGCGUGGGGAGCAAACAGGAUUAGAUACCCCAGUAGUC
rnacentral:rRNA from 1 species